UCCGGUUCGAGUCCCGGGCAACCCA
rnacentral:tRNA from 2 species